ensembl:lncRNA
AUGCUGCUGUUGCUCCUGCUCCUCACGAGCGUUUCCCAGCAUGCUCUGGCUGUGGUGGUGGAGGGAUAUGAGGGGGAGACUUCUGUCCUCUUGCACUAUGUUUACAAAGGUUCGAUACCUGAGGACAAUCCCACAGUGAUGUGGACUCGCAGUGACCUCAAUCCCAAAUCUGUCCACCUACAAGGAAAAGGAGGAGACGAUCUUAAAGGGCAAAUCCAGCGCUACAGUGGGCGCACAUCAAUGAGUCGUUAUGCAUUAAACACAAAAGACUUCAGCCUCACUCUGAGGAAACCCAAACUGACUGACAGCGGUAUUUACACCUGCUCCAUCAGUGCUGGAGGAGGAGAACAGAGACUGAGUGACAUCCAGCUGCAGGUCAAAGGUCAAACCUGCUGUAAUGAAAGAGUAAAAGUCAGUACAGUAGAUGAAGCUCAAAUAGUCCCAAAAGCAACAAGAAAGCCAAGUUUUUUCUGAAUAGUUCUGAAAGUCUUUGUAGGAGCCAUGAGUUGCUCUUUUUUGACUAAGUGAGUUGGUUUAAAUGGACUCACUGUAUUGGUGCACGGGUGUGGGGCGUGUCUCAUGGGUGUGUUAGAUGAUAAAUGUGGUGGCACUCACCUGUUCACCGCACCUGAUGUUGAUGAGCAGAAAGGUAGGGUGAGCAUGAGGCAAAACCUUCUGUUUACCGCAGCUUGAAUGCUUUUGAUAGAUUUUGACUGUAACUUGAUGUUUUUUGUAUAUUUGUGCACUAAUUGAUGCCAUAGGCCAAGUUGUAAUUUGGCAUAGUAAUUAGUGCAGCCAUUGUGAGUUGCAGUUAUUUGUUUGUGCAGUCUGUGCGUUUGUUUAAUAGUUAAUCCCAUGUGCUGAUUUGUAUAUUGGACAGUUGCAUGUGGACUAAAAGGUGCAAAUGUUACAGAAGUGUAUUUUAUGCGUUUAUUGUUGCGCGUCAUCUGUGUCCUCAUGUUCAGCCUGCCGCAGCCUUUGGUUGGAGGAGCCGCAACAGUCUUGAUUAACCUAACAUAAAGAUUUCCAAUGGACCGAACCUUAAAAUGAAACAACAAACAUGAGCAGGAAAGUAAACUAAAAUAAGAUCUUACUGAUACAGCCUCUGUGGUAUAUGGCAUUGCAUUCUUUUAGGUGUGCAGAGUUGUCUUCUCUGCUCAGGGAGACAAAUGUCAGUAGACUUUUUACAUAUUGUCCAUGAUGAAAAACUCAAGAUUUCUUUUAAAACACUGAAACAUUCAUUAUGAUCCCUCAAUUGUCUGUAGCUGUAGCAGCAGUUCAUAAAUUCCAGUUUAGUUACCACUCAAAGCAAAGAGUAGUGAGCCACAUUAGUGAAGUCAGAGGUCAGAAAUGCAGAAACUUGUCAUUUGCCAUGAGUGUGACUGCUAUUGGUCCUAUAUUUGAUAUUGUGGUUUCUUGUCCUUUCAGAUCAUCACGUGAAGGUGAAGGUGGAGGAAGGCUCAGAGUCUGUCACCCUGCCCUGCAAAACAACACCUGACCUGCCUGAGAACACCAGAGUGGAGUGGACUCGCUCUGACCAUGAACUCUUGAUAGUUCAGGAGUAUUCAAACAAAGGUGGCAAACUUAUGAAACAGGACAAGUUUUACAGACACCGAACAGAAAUGAAUGAAGACCUGCUGAAAACUUCAGUCUGACCCUGAAACAGCCCACAGAGAGACACAGGAGGAUACAUCUGCACCAUCUACAGGGACAAAGACAUCCUGAGACAGAAAGUAGUGCUGCACUAUGUCAGAGGUCAGAGCUGGUGGACAGUGGCUCAGAUUAACUUCAGAAUUCAAAGGUCAUAAUUUAUUUAUGCAUUUAUUUUUUGUUUCUCCACAGAAAAACUUCCACUUUGGGCCACAGCUGUCGUAGUUCUUCUUGUUCUUGUGUUUUUUGGGGGUCUCACAUAUAGUUUUCAACACUAUUUCAUGUCAGGUGAGUCUCUUGUAUGGAACGCCAGGACUGCCAUAAUGAAUUAAUUAAAUACACCAUUAAAUAAUUAAUUAAAUGUGGCAGUAAUUAAUUAUUAUUGGAAUUAAUUAAAUAAAUACUUAUGACACAUGUAAUUAAACUAUUGACACAUUUAAUUAAUUAUUUAAUGAUAUAUUUAUUUCAUUUUGGCAGUCCGGGCUCUCAUCAUGAAUUAAUUUUAUCUGUCAGACUCACCCAUCAAACUCAGGGGGCUUGUGACCUGCUGAUAAAAGAUGAACGACAGUCAGAAAUAUACUGAAAAUCUAACAAAGGCAGAGGUUAAGAGUAAUUCAGGCUUUUCCUUGCAUGUUAUGUAGCUGAUACCUGCUGUCUUGUGUGGUCUCCUGGUUGUCUGGGCUGUUGUCAGCUGCAUGAGUGUUACUGCCUGCUACACAGAUUUCCUCAGACGGACGUGAUCUGACAUUACAUCUGUUAGUCUGACGUCUGUCCACGGUCGAAGACUCUAUGACUGAAGCAAAAAUGUCUUUAAACGCCGCCAGAGAGCGUUUGACAGUCUUAGGAGUGAUCAGUGACUUUGCUGUCAGAGGCACUGGAGCUCCUCCUAGAGGUUUUAAUGAAACUGCCGUGUUGCCAUUUUUGGGAAGAGCGAGUCUGGGAGAUUUGCUCUGUUUAGACGGUUUCUUCCUUUCUUUUUUAGGUUCAGGCCUCUUGGGAUGAAGCUGCUGAGGCUUUGAGGACAUGUUCUCCAAAUCUUCAGCUAUGUUGUUGACAUGCCACCAUCCGCCCAGGGCUCUCCUUCUCCAUUUGGCUGAAUCUGCUUCCGUGAGCCACUCCUUAAGUCGGCUUUGCGACACGGGCACUUUUGGUGUGACUGAUAGUUUUCCAAUAGGAUCGUGCUGAUAUCAGUCUGACUCUGAAAAACCCCACACAGGGAAACAUUGGGAGAUACACAUGUUACGUCUGGAGAAAGGGAGACAUAAUCAGAUCAAAAACAGUGAUGUUCAAAGUAACAGUUUCUCGGGUGCCAUUGUCUAGAUAUUGAACUUUGGUUUUAUUAUAUUAAUUUCCUCUUUAUGAUAGAAUGAACUUUAAUGUCCUCUUGUUUAACCUUCACCCAGGAGUACCCGAAGCUAGCGUGCAGCUAGCAGGCUGCACUCUGCUGGGACAGGACAAAGGACAAAGGCAUUAUGUUGGUUUUUUCUGAAUCUUUGGUUUUUAUUUAGCCUUUUCUCUAUUUUUUUCAAUGAGUCUUAGCUGCACACUGCCUUUGAAACACAUGUUCAACAAGAAGCCACAGAAACCUUUAUCACAUUAAAGUCUCAUUGUUUCUGUACAGAUUUUCAUGUAUUCUCAUGUGUUUGGCUCCCAGAGUGUCGAUUCCUCCUUCUGUCUCAUCUUCCUCUGUUCUCUGUUACCUGGUCUUUCAGAGUACUGUUAGGGUGAUAUUCUGCCAAGUGUGAAGUUGAUGAGCUUCACAGUUACAACAGGUUAACAUUUCUGAAUAACAUGAUGAAAGUACAAGCAUGAACAUUUUAAACAUGUUUUUAUAUUUAUUUAUAUUUCAACAAUAUGUUUGAAUGUUUUAAUCCAGCAGUUUAAGGUCAGGCUCAGACUAAAGUCUGUGCUAAGACGACACCAUUGCAAAAUGUUCAUUUUGUUUUUCAGAGGUGGGCUUUCUGCAUCAUUACCCUGUUGCAUAAUCUGAGUGAGCUAAAGGGCAUGAACUGAUAGCUUCAUAUUCUCCUUCAGGAUUAUCAGAUAGGGAGCAGAAUUCAUGUUCAUCAAGUGAGACAAAUUGUCCAGAAGCAGCAAAGCAGCCCAGACCAUCACACUACAACCGCCAUGUUUGACUGUUGGUAUGAUGUUCUUCUUAUGAAAUGCUGUUAUUUUCAGUGCAGAUAUAAGGGGACUAAGACUUUCCAGAAAGAUGAGCCUUUUGUCUCGCCAGUGCACAGAUUAUUUUCCCAGAAGACUUGGGCAUCAUUGAGAUCAUUUUGGCCAAUGUGAGAUGAGCCUUCGUGAUCCUUUUGGUCACCAGCAGUUCUCGUCUUGGGAUUCUCCCGGUGUUUGAGGAUGGAAGCAGGGUUCCUACAACUUCAGGAAAGUUAGAUUUAAGACUUUUUUGUCACUCAGUAUUUAACAAUAACAAAAAAAUUCAUUAAGAGUUAAAUUUAUUAAGAGUUAUAGACUAAACAGGGGUUAGAGGUCAACAUGUUGAAAUUUGUGUGUGAUCAGUGAUGAGGGGUUUCUGUAUUACCCCUGACAUGCUGUUUAUUUUACAGUCAGCAGACUUCAAGUCUGAAAGACUUUCUUCAAAACAUACAACAUGCCUCAUACACACUUACACUGCUGCUUUUAUCCAUGAUGAUUCUGGCUCACAGACAGGAAAAAAGAAAAUCAUGUCUUUGAAUGUUUGAGACAUUUUAAUAACAAUUAGUCUUAUUCUGAAUUUUUAUGGAUCUGAUCUGAAGUCUGAGGUGUUUCUUUGGAUGAUGUUAAGUCAUUUAAGUUAUGUCCUGAGUUUUGGUUAUUGGUGCUUUUUUGAACAGAAUGGCUUGCUAUACUAAUACAGCUGCCUCCCUAUCCCUCUGUGUCUUGUGAGUCCUGCAUUUGGGUCCUCAUCUUGCUUGCCACAGCACUAACCUCGACAUAUAAGCAGAAAUCGUAUCGAUCCAGAGGCACAUUUAUCAAUUCAAGUAGACACAAACCUCAAGCUUAUCAAAUUUAUUAUCAUGUAAUUUAUUAACCA